rnacentral:rRNA from 1 species
CCUACGGGUGGCAGCAGUGAGGAAUAUUGGUCAAUGGACGGAAGUCUGAACCAGCCAUGCCGCGUGCAGGAAGACGGCUCUAUGAGUUGUAAACUGCUUUUGUACAAGGGAAAACCUGAAUACGUGUAUUCAGCUGAAAGUACUGUACGAAUAAGGAUCGGCUACCUCCGUGCCAGCAGCCGCGGUAAUACGGAGGAGCCAAGCGUUAUCCGGAUUUAUUGGGCGUAACGUGUACGUAGGCGGUUUGAUAAGUUAGAGGUGAAAUGUCCGGGCUUAACUCGGGAACUGCCUUUAAUACUGGUGAUCUAGAGAGUAGAUGCGGGAGGGGGAAUGUAUGGUGUAGCGGUGAAAUGCUUAGAGAUC